rnacentral:rRNA from 1 species
AUUGAACGCUGGCGGCAUGCCUAACACAUGCAAGUCGAGCGGAUGAAGGGAGCUUGCUCCUGGAUUCAGCGGCGGACGGGUGAGUAAUGCCUAUGAAUCUGCCUGGUAGUGGGGGAUAACGUCCGGAAACGGGCGCUAAUACCGCAUACGUCCUGAGGGAGAAAGUGGGGGAUCUUCGGACCUCACGCUAUCAGAUGAGCCUAGGUCGGAUUAGCUAGUUGGUGGGGUAAAGGCCUACCAAGGCGACGAUCCGUAACUGGUCUGAGAGGAUGAUCAGUCACACUGGAACUGAGACACGGUCCAGACUCCUACGGGAGGCAGCAGUGGGGAAUAUUGGACAAUGGGCGAAAGCCUGAUCCAGCAAUGCCGCGUGUGUGAAGAAGGUCUUCGGAUUGUAAAGCACUUUAAGUUGGGAGGAAGGGCAGUAAGUUAAUACCUUGCUGUUUUGACGUUACCAAAAGAAUAAGCACCGGCUAACUUCGUG